GACGAACGCUGGCGGCGUGCCUAAUACAUGCAAGUUGAGCGCUGAAGGUUGGUACUUGUACCGACUGGAUGAGCAGCGCACGGGUGAGUAACGCGUGGGGAAUCUGCUUUUGAGCGGGGGACAACAUUUGGAAACGAAUGCUAAUACCGCAUAAAAACUUUAAACACAAGUUUUAAGUUUGAAAGAUGCAAUUGCAUCACUCAAAGAUGAUCCCGCGUUGUAUUAGCUAGUUGGUGAGGUAAAGGCUCACCAAGGCGAUGAUACAUAGCCGACCUGAGAGGGUGAUCGGCCACAUUGGGACUGAGACACGGCCCAAACUCCUACGGGAGGCAGCAGUAGGGAAUCUUCGGCAAUGGACGAAAGGCUGACCGAGCAACGCCGCGUGAGUGAAGAAGGUUGUCGGAUCGUAAAACUCUGUUGGUAGAGAAGAACGUUGGUGAGAGUGGAAAGCUCAUCAAGUGACGGUAACUACACAGAAAGGGACGGCUAACUACGUG
rnacentral:rRNA from 1 species